UACGUAGGGUGCGAGCGUUACUCGGAAUUACUGGGCGUAAAGCGUGCGCAGGCGGUUCGUUAAGUCCGAUGUGAAAGCCCCGAGCUUAACUUGGGAAUGGCAUUGGAAACUGGCGGGCUGGAGUGUGGCAGAGGGGGGUGGAAUUCCACGUGUAGCAGUGAAAUGCGUAGAGAUGUGGAGGAACACCGAUGGCGAAGGCAGCCCCCUGGGCCAACACUGACGCUCAGGCACGAAAGCGUGGGGAGCAAACAGG
rnacentral:rRNA from 1 species